CUCGGGAUAGAGCAGUUUUGUAGCUCGCAAGGCUCAUAACCUUGAGGUCACGGGUUCAAAUCCUGUCUCCGCAA
rnacentral:tRNA from 1 species